GUCGUCCUCUGACCUUGCACUCUCACCCGUGCGACGGAAUUUCACCACCCUAGAGGACAGAGAAAAUCAGGUCAUGAUGGUUAGAACUCCCCUUCGACGUCCUUGCUUUACAGCUCUUGUGCCCAAGACAGACCUGAAUACUAUUUGGAAGAACAUGUGUUUCAGAAUUUAGACUCAUCGCUCUGUAACAGAGGUAACAAUUUGAUCGCCUGAGGGUUGCAUUAUGCCCACAAAAAGUUGCCCACACGGUAUUUUUUUAAGUGGAUGCCAAAGUUUUAAAAUUGGGAGCAUUCAGAUUAAAAGCCAGAUUCCUGACGUCUCUUAAAAAGGGACACAUUCCAUCUGGGGCCCACAUUCCUCUAAGAGAACAGUGUGGCUAGAUCUGGGUGGCGUGCCCCUAUAGAUGGGACACUGACUCCACGGUUAACUACAGUCUCCUCUUCUCCAAAUUAUGUCCGGCCCUGAGGUCUUUUCCCAGGGCCUUACCCUUGCUCUGUGUUCCUCUCCCUGGGCACUUUGGCCCACGUGUCUGGCCUUGCUGGCAUUUGAGUUUGAGACCCCAUGGCCUCCAUCAUUCUCUGUGCGAUACCCUCCGUCAAACCACGCCGUUUCUUGUCACUCUGGGAAACACCCUGGUCCCUCUGAGCAGCAGUUUCUUCAGCUGGCACUCAGAGGCAAAGUUACCUGUGUCCUUCCAGCUUCCUCGCUCUAUGGUGGGUUCCGGGCUCACUGCAGGGAGGGGACAGAAGUGUUCCUGCCCUCCCAGUCUCACAGGAGAGAGACAUAUCAAAUGAUUAAUGCUGAUUUCUAUCAGGGCAUCAAGAAAAGAAGUCCGGGCUGUCACGGACAUGAAGACAUGGGGGACCGGAGGGCAAAUUAGGCAACGCUCAAACAGGGAUGAAGGGAGCGUCAUUGGACCGCCCUUGACUCUGAGGGUAACAUCGCAGAGGGAAUUGACUACGUGGCCGGAUAAUCUCCUUUGAAUUCUGCUUUUAUAACAUCUUCUCCUCAAGGACCUUCUGGGGCUCCAUACUUCUUUCUUCUUUCUGUGACUAAUAGCGAGCACUGCAACCUCUUUCGAAGGUAAUCUGUGCUAUCUUUCAAAAUUUUAAAUGCUCUGUGUUCUCACCCAGAAUUCUCCUGCUGGCAUUCACAGUGGGGACAGACACAAGUGGACAAGGAUUUUCCAAGCAAGUCACUGAUGUGGAUGGUCAGCUUGCCUUGUGUGGGUCCAACGUUUGUGCUUUGCAUCAAUCAUCUUAUUUAACGUCCACUUUCACUAUCCCCACUUUACAGAUGAGGACGCUCGAGCACAGAGGGGCUGGGAGCUUGCCAAGGUCACACAGUAGGUGUCUAAGCCAGCCUCUGGCAAAGCCACCUGACUUCAGAGUCCCCACUGGCUGCCACUCUGCUAUGUUCUCUUCUGGCGCUGGCCUGCUGUUUGCAGCUUGGCUGGGAGAUUACAAAACUAGAAACAAUCAUCAGAAGAGGCAAAAUUGAAUAGAUUAUGGCACACCCGCUUAAGAAAAAUGCGGAAAAAAAUUUAAGUUGAUCUGUAUCGCAACAUUAUAACACAAGUGUCCAUCAGUGGACGAAUGGAUAAACAAAGUGUGGUAUAUCCACACAAUGGAAUGUUAUUUGGCUUUAAAAAGGAAGGAAAUUCUGACACCUGCUACAACAUGGAUGAACUUUGAAGACGUUAUGCUAAGUGCAAUAAGCCCAACAGGAAAGGACAAAUAUUGUUUGAGUCCACCUACAUGAGUAGACCUACAGCGGUCACAUUCACAGAGAGAGAAAGUAGAAUGGGGGUCCCCAGGGGCUGACGGGGGCAGGACAUAGGGAGCUAGCGUACAAUGGGGACAGAAUUUCAGUUGGAGAAGAUGAAAAAGUUCUGCAGUUGGAUGGUGGCGAUGGUUGCACAACACUGUGAAUGUCCUUAAUGUCACCAACUGUACGCUUUAAAUUGUAGAAAUGGUAAAUUUCAUGUUAUGUAUAUUUUACCACAAUAAACACACACACAAGUUGAUCCAACAGGAAAAGAUCAUUGGGGCUCAUCAUUAAAUGUGCUAGAAUAUGGUCCCACGAUCUAAGGCCUUGCUACUAAGAUUAACGGUGAUCCCGAACCAGGGGCCUCAGCAUCCCCUAGGAGCUUGCUAGAUGUGCAGAGUCUCGGGCCAUGACCCAACCCGACUGAAUCAGCAUCUGCAUUUUACUCAGGUCCUCAGGCAAUUUGUGCGCGCUUUAAGGUCUGCUCUCAUCUUUAUGCUUCAACAGUCACAGACGUUCUGGAAAGAUACAUAAGAAGCCUAAGACUGGCUGCUUCUGGGAAGAGGAUUGGGUGGCAAUGGGGACUUUUGAGGGAAAGGAAUUUUUUUUUACCUUUCAUUUUGGACCCUGAUGUAACGUUUGCAAUUUUUAACCUGCACGUCUAUUACUUUAAUAAUAAAUAUAAAUAACGACAGCGACUGUUUCCAGAGGUAUUGUUGAGCAUGCAGCAUCUGCUGGGCAUGUCACAGAUGCUUUCAUCUGCCAAAUGGGGACAACAGGCUUGCAGGACUGUCAUGAAGAUUAACUGAGGUUGAUGAACCGGAAACUUACGGGCAUUGAGCAAAUAUUGGCCUCCCUCCCACCCAGCCUCGUUCGCGUCACCUUGCUGCCUUGAGCAUGGAGGGCACUGACCUUUGUGAAAUGUGACUUUGAGAAAGCGGCUUAACUCUCUGCAGUUUUAAACUAAGAUCCAUUCACAUUCUUUCUCUAGCAACCCGCGGGAAGCCAGGGCAUCCUUAUUUAUGAAAACUUGUUUUAAGACAGACAUAAAGAGAGACCUCUGACAUUAAAUUAUACUCAGAAAGCCAGACUGCAUUUUGAAUCAGUUGGGUUCCUAAAAGUAUUUAUCAACUCCAUGAGCCAAGAUUUCCCAAGGAAAAAAAACGUAAUACGAAGGAAGAAAAUAGCACUGGCAUAUGUUAAAUAUAUGAGGGCUUUGAAAUGGGCUGGCUCGUUUCAAACGGGUUGGCAUUUGUUGUGUAUAUAUAGCGUAUCAUUUACCAAAAUAGCAGGGAACAUUUAUUUUACAUAAUUUUUCUGUUGAAAGAAGAGAAGGGCUUGAGGAAAUAGUCGUCAACUUAAAGGUCUUGUUUGUACCCCCAUGUAAGUCACCUUUGUGCCUUAAAUUGGGGUCUGGGACUCGAUUAGGGUAUUUUAGAUAAGGAAGCUUUUUCUCUUUUCAUCUGAGCUUCUGGAUUUUUAUCCCCUGAGUUCACAAAUCUAUUAGACUGAAACGGAAGCUUAAACCUAACUGUGAUUAGUACAAGGUGGCAUUUAGUGUCUUGCGUGGAGAGAGGUGGCCUGCCAUAGGGAAGAAGAGAGCCCAGCUCUGGCCAACAGACUGGCCUGGGUUUGAAUCCCCUGCCCACGCCAUGCAGCAGCUGUGUGACCCCAGGUCGGUUAUCUUACCUCUCUGAGUCUUGGUUCCCUCCCUGGUAGAAUGGAAUGGUAAUUCCUACCUCCUCGGGUUGCCAUGGAGAUGAAAGGAAUCCAUAAAGAGACAGCAUCUCGCAGAGCCUGGCAUAAUCGUUCAGUAUUUCAACAAGCAUUUAUUGAGUGCUGACUAUGUGCUGAGUGCUGGUACACAAAGGGGGACAAAACAGAUGUGGUCCCUGCCCUCAUGAAGCGGAUGCUCCCGUAGGGGAGAUGGUUAAUAUACAAGUCA